GAUAUUGUGAUUUACGAGAAAAUACAGGUAAGCAGAACACAGUAUAUGGGUUUUUUGGUGAAUUCAAUAACAGUUUUUAAUUUUCGGAAAAUUGGCACAUAGAAUUGAGACAUAAAACAACUUUUGGCGGUUUUAGAAGGCGGAAAUGUUUCUGAAGAUGGUUUGGAAGAUGAAAGUGAAGAUGACGAAACCUUUUUAGCUUAUGCAAGAGAGAUAAUUCAAGAGAAAGAAGACGAGGAUGCAGAGGAUCAUGAAGAUCCUACCUAUAGCGAUCCACCACUGGUUCAAGAUUUUCCUGACUCAUUGAGUAAAAUUAUUUCUUCAUUAUCCAUGCAAGAAGGUCAUGAACAUUUUGUAGUUUGAUGAAAGGAAACUU